GAUGAACGCUGGCGGCGUGCUUAACACAUGCAAGUCGAACGGAAAGGCUCUUCAUUGCAGGGGUGCUCGAGUGGCGAACGGGUGAGUAACACGUGGGUGACCUGCCCUGGACUUUGGGAUAAGCCUGGGAAACUGGGCCUAAUACCGGAUAGGAGCACUGGUUGGAUGCCAUGGUGGGAAGUUUUUCGGUGUGGGGUGAACUCGCGGCGUAUCAGCAUGUUGGUGGGGUAAUGGCGUACCAAGGCGGCGACGGGUAGCCGGCCUGAGAGGGUGUACGGCCACAUUGCGACUGGGGUACGGCCCAGACUCCUACGGGAGGCAGCAGUGGGGAAUAUUGCACAAUGGGCGCAAGCCUGAUGCAGCAACGCCGCGUGCGGGAUGACGGCCUUCGGGUUGUAAACUGCUUUCGCUGGGGACGAAGCGCCAGUGACGGUACCUGGAAAAGAAGCACCGGCUAACUACGUG
rnacentral:rRNA from 1 species